CCUCUCGGACGGGGACAAGGGACUUCGGUCUCGAAAUUCCCGAUACGCCUCGGCGGGCUGCGGCCUGCCGAUGGAAAACCCGCUUUCGGUGGGGGCCGGGAGAUGAGCCUGCGGCCUAUCAGCUUGUUGGUGAGGUAACGGCUCACCAAGGCGAUAACGGGUAGCCGGUCUGAGAGGACGGCCGGUCGCACUGGGACUGAGACAUGGUCCAGACUCCACAAGGAGUUAGCAUCUGGGAAUAUUGCGCAAUGGGCGAAAGCCUGACGCAGUGACGCCGCGUGGGGGAUGACGCUCUUCGGAGUGUAAACCCCUGUCGUGGGGGAAGAAGGUCCGCUUCGGCGGAAUUGACGGUACCCCACAAGAAAGCCCCAGCCAACUGCGUGCCAGCAGCUGCGGUAAGACGUAGGGGGCGAGCGUUGUCCGGAUUUACUGGGCGUAAAGCGCACGUAGGCGGCUUGGUAAGUCUGGCGUGAAAUGCCCGCGCUCAACGCGGGACCUGCGCUGGAUACUGCCGGGCUCGAGGGCAGAAGAGGAGAGCGGAACUACCGGUGUAAGGGUGAAAUCUUUAGAUAUCGGUAGGAACACCAGUGGCGAAGGCGGCUCUCUGGGCUGUCCCUGACGCUGAAGAGCGAAAGCCAGGGUAGCGAACGGGAUUAGAUACCCCGGUAGUCCUGGCUGUAAACGAUGAUCACUAGGUGUUGGGAGUAUCGACCCUCUCAGUGCCGAAGCUAACGCAUUAAGU
rnacentral:rRNA from 1 species